GUCUGUGUGUGUGUAUGUGUCAGUAUGUCUGUGUGUGUGUGUAUGUCAGUGUGUCUGUGUGUGUAUGUCAGUAUGCCUGUCAUAGACACACACAGACAUACUGACAUACAUACACAAACAGACAUACUGACACAGACAUA
rnacentral:miRNA from 1 species